GUGCAGCUGUACCUGUCCAAGCUGCGCCGCCUGCUGCCGGCCGCGCGCGCGCCGCGCCGCCGCCGCCUGUCGCGGCUCCAGGUCAUCCACCACGUCAUCGACUACAUCUGUGACCUUCAGCACGCGCUGCUGCGCCACCCCGCCGUCGCCGCCUCCGCCCACGCCGCCUACGUGCCCUGCGCGCCGCCCACGCCCCCGGCCACCCCCGUCUCGGAGGACCGGCUCGACGACGACGAGGACCUCUGCGCGACCUGCAGUCGACAGAGUUCGUGCACCGAGGAGGAGAUGGGCCCCGAGAGUUAGCACAGUGUGACGCAAAGCGUGUCCUGCGCCCUGCCGCGGCAGGACUGCUGACGUCACCUGUGACGUCGCCAGCUGCACUCGCCGUCCUCGCCCUUAACGCUGGCCGUGUGGCUUACAAUAGAGGCUGUGACUAAUCAGGAACUCCAGGACCGGUCUCCAGCUCCCUCGCCACUUCUCCAGAAGGAGUACACCCGUCAGCAAUGGUUGUCGUCACAUCCUAGAAAUACUGUGCUUUACUCGCACAGUCAAUUUGAAAUCUUAUUUGGUUAGCUAUCUAAGUUUGCCCUCUUCAACGAAAAAAACUAAAAGAUAUCAUUCUUGACUCUGUUAUUAGUUAUUAUGUUAACUUCUCUUAUUAUGCCCACUGCCUCCACUGUAAUUCACUCCAGUUUUAAUAUUUGAUGGAAAUGCCUUUCGAAAUAUUUCGUUGAUCCCGUCACUGCAGCAACCAAUAUCUACAUGCAAAUAUGAAAUUCCUGGUUUUUAGUGUAAAUUGAAAAUUAAUUGCAGGGUUAUCAAUGAGUUCCAUCAAACUUGAUAUCAACCUGCAAACUACUUGUUAUAGGUUACAUAUUUUGAAGUCAAUGAGGAAAUUUUUUCUUCCCAUUGGGGAAUCUGUGUGUUUCUGAAGAAGUCAUGGGAAUUAAGUCUAAGUUUUUUUUUUUUUUUGCACCAGAAGACACUUUUGGUAUACAUUUUUUGGGUUAAGUACCACAACUUCAUCUGAUCAAGUGUUAGUGUGACACAGUUCACAAUGGAAUGCAGUGACCAAAAGUUACCUUGUUUCUGUCUACUGACUGUUACAUUUCUACUUCCAGUAUGUACUUUGUAUAAUGACUAGCUGCAUUUAUUCCAUGUGACCAAACUACCUGUGAUCUAUUUCAUAAUUACUGGGUUGACUGAACAUUGCUGUUUUUAUUUGUGUAAAUUUGUGCCUCUUUACAAUUAGGAGGACAUGGAUACAGUGCUCACUUGAUCAUUAGUAGAAGGGAUGGAUUCUGCUUAGCUAAUGAAGAGUAAUUUUGCAUAAUUUGAAACAUGUGAAAAGUACAUUCCUUGAGAGGUAAUGUUACUGACAGAAAUUCUAAGAGUAAUUGUUAUAGAACUGUAGAAGUGACAGCAUGUAAACAUGUACUGCUGUUCAGUUUAUUUAAAUGAAGAAUAAAAUGAUACAAUUUAUAAAAGCUAUGCAACACCGUAAAAAAAUAUUGUAAUUUGUCAGUGUUUGUCAGUUACUCUUACACUCUAAAUUCAAGUUACAGCCUAAUUUUCCAAAACAGCUCUCAUAAUUCUCUCCCCAGUUUAACAAAGUGGUGAAACAGAUAACUAUAUAUGAUGUAAGAGUUAAAAUAUUUGCUGGAGAUGACUUAUUAGAAGUGAAGAAUCAACAAUAGUACAACUUGGUAGCUACUUGCUACUUAACUAUAGUCUCCAUGAAUCACUAUGCAUGUGGCAGGUAACAAAAGACUUAUGCUUGAUGUGAAUGAAAAAGAACACUACCUUUUAUUUUAUUGUGAAAUUUUCAAAUCUCUUCAAGUGACUGGGGCAUUCAAUGCACCUAGGAAAAGAAAGCCAUUAGGGGUACAUCAUUGCAGAGAUACAAGAAGAAGACUAUUAUUUAUAAUUUUUGUGUAUAUAAUGAAAUUUAUAAAAAUAUGUAAAAUGAUAGAUAGAGUAUUGUAUAUUAAGACAGAUAUAGAAAGCAAUAUAAUGUAUUUUAUGGGAUAACAAAUAAAGCUUAAACAAUGAAAAUCUU